rnacentral:rRNA from 1 species
GACGAACGCUGGCGGCGUGCCUAAUACAUGCAAGUAGAACGCUGAAGAGAGGAGCUUGCUCUUCUUGGAUGAGUUGCGAACGGGUGAGUAACGCGUAGGUAACCUGCCUUGUAGCGGGGGAUAACUAUUGGAAACGAUAGCUAAUACCGCAUAACAAUGGAUGACACAUGUCAUUUAUUUGAAAGGGGCAAUUGCUCCACUACAAGAUGGACCUGCGUUGUAUUAGCUAGUAGGUGAGGUAAUGGCUCACCUAGGCGACGAUACAUAGCCGACCUGAGAGGGGGAACGGCCACACUGGGACUGAGACACGGCCCAGACUCCUACGGGAGGGAGCAGUAGGGAAUCUUCGGCAAUGGGGGCAACCCUGACCGAGCAACGCCGCGUGAGUGAAGAAGGUUUUCGGAUCGUAAAGCUCUGUUGUAAGUCAAGAAAGGGUGUGAGAGUGGAAAGUUCACACUGUGACGGUAGCUUACCAGAAAGGGACGGCUAACUACGUG